rnacentral:rRNA from 1 species
GACGAACGCUGGCGGCGUGCCUAAUACAUGCAAGUCGAGCGGACAGAAGGGAGCUUGCUCCCGGAAGUUAGCGGCGGACGGGUGAGUAACACGUGGGCAACCUACCCUGUAGAUCGGGAUAACAUCGAGAAAUCGGUGCUAAUACCGGAUAAUCAUUUGAAGUGCAUGCUUCGAAUGUAAAAGAUGGCUCCGGCUAUCACUACGGGAUGGGCCCGCGGCGCAUUAGCUGGUUGGUAAGGUAAUGGCUUACCAAGGCAACGAUGCGUAGCCAACAUGAGAGGGUGAUCGGCCACACUGGGACUGAGACACGGCCCAGACUCCUACGGGAGGCAGCAGUAGGGAAUCUUCCGCAAUGGACGAAAGUCUGACGGAGCAACGCCGCGUGAGUGAUGAAGGUUUUCGGAUCGUAAAGCUCUGUUGUUAGGGAAGAACAAGUGCCGUUUGAAUAAGGCGGCACCUUGACGGUACCUAACCAGAAAGCCACGGCUAACUACGUGCCAGCAGCCGCCGCCGUAA